rnacentral:rRNA from 1 species
UACGUAGGCAGCGAGCGUUGUUCGGAAUUAUUGGGCGUAAAGAGUGUGUAGGCGGUGCUCCAAGUCUGUCGUGAAAUCUCCCGGCUUAACUGGGAGGGUGCGGCGGAAACUGGAAUGCUAGAGGGUGGGAGAGGUAAGCGGAAUUCCUGGUGUAGCGGUGAAAUGCGCAGAUAUCAGGAGGAACACCGGUGGCGAAGGCGGGUCUCUGGGCCGAUACUGACGCUGAGGAGCGAAAGCGUGGGGAGCGAACAGG